rnacentral:rRNA from 1 species
CUCACCAGGUCAGGACACGGUAAGGAUUGACGGACUGAAGGCUUCUUUCUCGAUUCCGUGGAAAGUGGUGCAUGGUCCGUUUUUGGUUGGUGGAUCGAUCCGUCUGGUUAAUUCCGUUAACGAACGAGACCUCGGCACUCCGAAUAGCGCGGCGGACGUCGCGGCCUCCGGGGCCGUCUUCCGCACGAGCUUCUUAGAGGGACCGUCCCCCGCCGGGGAAGGAGGUGCGAGGCAACGACAGGUCUGUGAUGCCCUUAGAUGUUCUGGGCCGCACGCGCAUUACACUGACGCGUCCAACGGGUGACUCCCGACCCGAAGGGGCCGGGGAAUCCGCAAGGCGCGUCGUGAUGGGGAUUGAACGUUGCAAUUGUUGUUCACGAACGAGGAAUUCCUAGUAGGCGCGGGUCAUCAACCCGCGCCGAUUACGUCCCUGCC